rnacentral:rRNA from 1 species
CUACGGGACGCUGCAGUGGGGAAUAUUGCACAAUGGGCGCAAGCCUGAUGCAGCCAUGCCGCGUGUAUGAAGAAGGCCUUCGGGUUGUAAAGUACUUUCAGCGGGGAGGAAGGGAGUAAAGUUAAUACCUUUGCUCAUUGACGUUACCCGCAGAAGAAGCACCGGCUAACUCCGUGCCAGCAGCCGCGGUAAUACGGAGGGUGCAAGCGUUAAUCGGAAUUACUGGGCGUAAAGCGCACGCAGGCGGUUUGUUAAGUCAGAUGUGAAAUCCCCGGGCUCAACCUGGGAACUGCAUUCGGUCCUGGCAAGCUUGAGUCUCGUAGAGGGGGGUAGAAUUCCAGGUGUAGCGGUGACAUGCGUAGAGAUCUGGAGGAAUACCGGUGGCGAAGGCGGCCCCCUGGACGAAGACUGACGCUCAGGUGCGAAAGCGUGGGGAGCAAACAGGAUUAGAUACCCUCGUAGUC